rnacentral:rRNA from 1 species
AUGCUGACUCCGGCACCCUACGAGGUGCCGGAAAAGAAUACCAAGAAGAAGGCCGCGGGGACCCGAAAGGGUCUCCGGCGCAAGGUUGUAUCGGAGUCAUCAGACGAUGACUCCGACACGCACUCCUCCCAUGGAAACGACGAGGAGGAGGAGGAGAAAAGUUCUCCCCCCCAGCCGGGGGAGACAAGAAAAGGAUGGCCGACCCAUCCAGGGAGGCCGAAGGGUCCAAGAAGGGAAGGACCCUCCCUCCGGACUGCGCCACGACGGCCACCGACUGCGGCGACGAGUGGCUACCCAGGGUCAAGCCCCUAG